GCAACAAUGUCUUUGGAUGACUCCUCCUCUGAAGAGGAAAACAUGGAGAGUUACUUCUUCGCUGCUCAAGAACUGCGAGUGCUGUGAUUAGUUCUUCUCAAGUGAAGCUGUACCACUGUGCUCCAGCUCCACACUCCCUCCUGCAGCCUCCGCUCCUGAUGCUAACCUCCUGUCUCCAUCACACCAAGCAGCAAACCUGGAGUGACAGAACCUUCUCCAUAGCUGCCCCCUCCCUCUGAAACCCCCUCUCCCAAACACUAUUUUUGUAUUUUUUUGCAUGAGAAUUGUUGAUCAUAUCAUUUCCAGCAACUGCCUUAAUGUAAUUUCUGUGCAUAAUAAAUGACAUUGAUCAUAACAUA